CUCCGGCCGCCGCCGAUUGGCUCCGCCGCGGUCACGUGCCGCCCUCCCUGACGUCAAUGGCCGCUCGGGGCAGCGCCGGCCGCGGGAGGCGCGCGGGGAGACCCGCGCGCGCGGCCGCCGCGCCCCUCACGGAGGGGCGGAAUGAACGGGGUUGGAAAAGACCUCUGAGGGCCAUCGAGUCCGACCCGCGACCCAGCACCACCGCCGCGUCAGACAGACCAGAGCGCUGAGUGCCACGUCCAGUCGUUCCUUGAGCGCUCUCGAGGGUGGUGACUCCACCACCUCCCUGGGCAGCCCGUUCCAAUGUCUAAUCCCCCUGUAUGUGAAGAAAUUCCUCCUGCUGUCCAACCUGAACCUCCCCUGGCGCAGCUUGGGGAUACGUCCACUCGUCUGGGCGCUGGUUGCCUGAGAGAAGAGCCUGACCCCCUCCCCCGGCUCCACCCUCCUGUCAGGGAGCUGGAGAGUGACAAGGUCCCCCCGAGCCUCCUUUCCUCCAGGCUGAGCCCCCCCAGCUGCUCCUCACUGGACUUGUGCUCCAGACCCUUCACCAGCUCCCUUGCCCUCUUCUGGACCCGCUGCAGCACCUCAAUGUCCUUCCAGAAUUUAGGGGCCCAGAACUGGACACAGCAUUCGAGGUGUGCCCUCACCAGUGCCAGAGUACAGGGGAACAAUUGCUUAAAAUCACUACACACACACACCCCCUUUGCUUCUUCUCCUCAGGCAGGUUGUGUUUUGAGCAUCCUCAGUCUGCAUUACGUUCUUGUACAGCCACUGCGAGGAACUGCCAGGGAAGCCCGUGCCUGGCUGGUAGCACUUCACCAGUGGAUCCCACUGUUCCGUUUCCUCUGGCUUUAUAAGGGGACUGGGAAUGGCUGCGUUCCCCAACACACCAGCCCUUAGAAGCCCAGGAAGAGCAGCACCUCCUCAGACUGUGCUGAGAAGGAUGUGGAAUGUCCUCCGAUUGUCCACAAAGCAGUACAAUUGUUUAUCAAAAAAAAAAAAAAAAAAAAAAAGGAAUGAAAAAAUGAACUCCCUUCUAAGCCCUCUAAACUGCUCAAUGGCUCAGGGAUGCUGUGUGCGAUAUGGAUGUCAUGCCCGGAGAAGCGGUACCAUCGAUACUUUUUUGUCAGCAGUUUAAAUUUUCAGUGGGAGAAUUUGGAUCUCAUUUCCAGUUUCCUCAUCUGCACAACAAGGUUAGGACAAACAAACAAACAAAAAAACAUUUUAUAUAAUACGUGCACAUGCCAUUAAACUGUGGGGCUCAUUGCAAUGGAUAUUACCAAGGUCCAGAAUUCAGAAGAAGUUUAAAGGGUUGUUUUACUUGGUGCUUGCAAAAUAUUCAGAGAAAGUAUAAACCUUCAUACUUAAAAAUUUAAGCUUGCCUCUAAUUGAAGGAGUUUGGGAAAGGGAUGACCUGUUCUGUGAUGACUAUUCUACAGUGUGUGCCCGUGACUUGGUUUCUGGUGGCAUCUUCUGCUGCAAUAGCUCUCAGAUAGGUCACCAUGCCAAGAGAGGUGCCAGCAGUUGUGAGCAGCAUCACCAGCCUGCCCAAGAGAAAGCUCUUUCAUCUGAUCUGUUCCCAUCAUGAGUCACACAGAUUAUCUGUUGGAGAGGCGAGCUUCUACUGGAAAGGUUUGGGAGCCUUUGCCAUAAAACCUUUUGUAGUGGCUGCUGUCAAAGACAAUACAUGACCAGCUGGACCACAAUUACAGUGAGCGUGUCCAUCACGUGUGUGUCAUUACAGAGCUGUUGUGUUGAAAUAGGCUUGCAUUUGACUGGAGUAUUGCUGCCUAAACACUUUCAGAAGGGACGAUUUUUUAGCCUAUCAAUUGCUAGCAAAUUCAGGAGAUGCUUUUUUUGCAUAUCAGCCUCAAAAUUAUUUAUAAAAAGCAAGGAAGUCUCCAGAAUACUCCCAAGUACCAGUUGAUAGAACGACGCAGAAUUAUAUGACUUGGCAAAGGUCAGAAGAAAGCCACUCGUUUAAUGACCUGAAUAAUACAACCAACAGGAAGACAAAAAUCUCUUUUAUAGAGGUUCAGAUUGUCAGUAUCUCGUAGCCCUGGUAAUCACUUACCUCCUGAACUUAAACAAACUGACUGGUCAUUGUGCACUAAACAUUACAGGCGGUUCCCACAGGGCUUUGUACACCACAUACUGCGAGGGGUGAGUGACGCAGGCAUUUACCCUGAAAUACAGCCAGAUCUACUCACACCUGUAAAUCUCCCUGGAACAGCAAUAAAAAUAAUAACAAAAAAAUAUUUGCAAACCAAACUGGGAAAGGACAGCUUUGUGUAGAUGUAAGCCUUUCACCGCAGGAACUGUCUGUUUCCAGGAGUUCCCAGAGUGUCUGGUACAAGGGAGACCUGUUCUUGUUUGACCCGAGGCACUGUUCUGGUACAAAUGAUAAUCAUGUCGAUAGUAGGACUACUCGCAUACACUCAUCUGCACCAACACUUCACCCAGAAAUACAGCCAGUGAGACUAUUCUAGUUUGUGCAAACCAUUCACCUGCCCAAACCACUGCUUUAAAUCUACCGUAAUUGUCAUCUCGGAGAGCUGCUCACCAACGGGAGGACGUUAUGUAAGAGUCUGGUGUUCUUAAGUGAAUUUCCUGGCAAAUUAGAGCAGAGGUUCUCCACUAGUGUUCCACGGAAGGCAGCAAAAAAAAUGAAGGCUGGUCUAUAGCAGCUGACCCACGAGUUACCUGAAAGGAUCCAAGCCUGGAAAUCCACCGUUCCAAAGUGCUGAAAUCCACUGACAUAUUGCAAAAGCCACUCGUGGCAACCCCUGUCAAGGACAGAGGUCCAAAUCCUCAGAGGUGCUGUGUGUCUGCAGCUCCCCUGAAUCCCUGUUCUCGGCCUGCAGGUGUUCUCAGUGAGGUAAACUCGGCACAGCAUGAUAAGAUCAAGGUAUGAAAUCUCCCGUUGCCUGCCAGAGCAGGGCAACUGAAAACCCUGUCUAGACAAGUGAAAUUGAAACACGCUGGUGCUGCACAGCUUGCUGGAACACACAUUAGCCAUCCAACCUGCAAUAAAUAGCUGACUUCCUCUUCUGGCUCCAUGCAGCACAACAGACAUCUCAGGUAUACACGCCUGGCAGGAUUUCAAGGUGGCAUUUGGGAAUUGCUGUAAGUUUUGGUUUUUUUCCCCAAAAAUCUAAUUUUUAUGAGCAAAUUCAACCACAAAUUUAUCAUAAGCAUGAGUCAUAAUCAUUCAUAUAAGAAACACUGAGCAAAUAAUUCAUAAUAAAAAGCACAUACCUCUAGCUAUUCACAAGGUGCUUCUGGGCAUGCUAUCAGUUUUGAAUAAUUCAAGAAUUUACAAGGUUUUCUAUGAAAUACUUCCUUUCUCUGCUAGAAGAGAAACACAAGCUUUCAAAAUGAAAAUCAAAUGGCUUAUUUAUUACUGUUGAUACUACUACUGAGUAGAAGCUCUUUUAGUUCAAGGUGUCUAGAUACAGGUCAAAUUUGAAGGAGGAAGGAGAUAGCCCAAGAGAGACUUCUACUCUGCAGAAAUAUCAGUGCAGUUGAACCAAAAUGAGAGUGGGGCUGGCAGGGAAGCAGCAGAGGUAAAAGAUGCUUUCUCCAAAAGAGAGUUCAGUGGCAGAAGGGCAAUUCAGACCCACCUGCCAGUCCUGUACCCUACUCUUGAGCUCUGCUCACUCACUUCCAAGUUCUAUCUUACUCCUGAACUCUGCCCUUUCAUUUGCACUUCUUUGUAUUUGCUCUCUUUUUAUUAUUCACCACCAUUUCAUAAUAGGCUUUGUAAACAGAAGCAUCACUUCCUGAAAGACACUGUACCCUGGAAACCUGGGUUAUACUCACCAUGCAGUUCAGGGCACUGACCCAGGCUUCUGGGUCAGCAACAGACUUUCUUUUUCCCUUUUUCAAAACCAGUUCUGUUGUGACGUGUAUUAUUCAGAAUAUUCAUCUCCUCAGUUGUAUGUCUGUAAAACCAGGAAAGCCCAUUGACACAGUCAUUCACAAAUACCUGGGAUUCCAGUCUUAAGAAAAAAAAAACAUAUUUUUUAUGCAUUCUCAACAUUUGGUCUCUUGUCUGACUACUCUCAAUUCAAUCAGGUGUUCUGCAGAGGUCAUUCGUGGGUGCCAAAACAGAAGCACUGUCCCAGCAUACCUUCUUCAGCUUAGUAACACCCACCUAUAAUAAUGUGUUAAAACAAAACCAGUGUGAUAUUCCAAAGGAAAAGAAGAUGGCAUUUUAUGUAUAGUGCUCAGUGCCACUGACACCGGUUUCAUGAUAGUGGGAGCCUUGGAAAACCCUUUAGAAAACACAAAACCUACACAGGGGAAAAAAAUUGCCUAAAGUCACCUUGUCUGAGAGUAAAUUCAUGCAAAUGGAUGCCUGACAAGCUAUGAGGGGACUAAAGAAGCAGCUGUGGCAAGGACCAGAUACAGACAAUGAGAUGCUCCAACAGGGGAUGUGCUGACCACUGUCCCCAGAGGGGCUUUGCAGGAUUAGUAGUACACUUUAAAAGAGAAAACAAGGAAAAGGAAUAAUAACUGCUUACUACGUCUUUUAAUUAUCCCUGAUUCAUUUUACAGUGUUAUGACAUUAACACAUGACUUGGCAAACCCUUUCCCCAGUCAAUCAAAGAAGGAAGAAAAAAAUAAAUCUCCUUUUACUGUCACUGAAAUUUUCUGUCAGAGGCUAUAAGAGUCUAACACAUUCAUGCUUUCUGUAACAAAAAAACUCUCCUGCUCUUGUCUGCUUAACACAUUCCUGGGAGUUAUCUGUUCAGAGAUGUGAGAUACAGUUUUUCCAAGCAGCAAAGACCAGGAAUUCCCAACUUGUAUUCAGUAUUCGUUUAGAUUCUUACACAGCAGCUGUUCCUCUCAUGUUUGAAUCCUCGAUGCCUAUUAGAGAUAAUGGAGCUUUCUUCCCUUAUUCGCAGAGGUGCUGCCUGGAUUAUGGAAUUCAUUAGUCAAUGCUUGCAAAUUGCCACUGUUGACUCAGAGCAAAUUCCUGCUAUCAGACUCACUAGUCAGCUCAUUUUCAUAACAAUGCUGUAUUGUUAAAAAAUACUUUUAAACCGUUCUUUACUGAAAAUCGGGAAUACAACACAUUCAAGCAAACACCUAAAACAUAAAAGAGAUGCUGUAUCAGUAAUGCUGAAAGUCCUGCAUUUGAGGUGUGUUUGAAUUAAUCACCGUGGUGGUGUUAAGAGGAUUCAGUAAAUCAUAAAACUACGGGAAACUCAAUUGUUUCCCAAAAGAGGUGGUGGACAUUUAAAAAAAUAACUAGAUUAAAGAAACCCACCCUGCAAGGAGUAGUCGCCCUAAGGGAAGGAAGGGCUGGAUUAGGGCACCAUUGAUCAUAGGAACACAAAAUAAAGAUUGGAUUGCAAGCAUCUCUUUCUUUUCCUUAAAUGUUUUAUCACCCACUCCUGAGCCUAAAAGUAAUUUUGGAAGACACCUCACAGGUGGAGUAGUAAGAGGGAAAUCAGACUCUGAUAUGAAUUUGUAAUUCUCUGACAUCUCUGACAUUCAGAUUUCUGCUAUUUCUCCGGUUUACUCAGGCACUGGGUUCUUGUUUCCCCAGCUGAGGCACAUUACAGCACAGGGCUAACUCUGAGCUGUGCAGACCCUGGGGACAAAUAUAUCUCUGAUUCCUCACUGACAUAAUGCACACACUUGAGUGCAUGAUGCAGAAAUACUUUUUUUUCUGCCUGUCAUCAUCAGAUGCUCUGAUGUAGGGGGAUGUAGGAUGAAGCUGGUGGUAUCAAUUGCUAGAAGGAGCCUGCCAUCUGCUGAUCUGAGCAGCACUCCAAUCUGACUUUUCCCAGAUCUGAUAGAGGAGGAUGGAGCACUAUGCAAAGUAGAUUAAAUGUUUCAGAACAGAAGCAGCAUUAACAGAGUUGCUGUGGUGAAGGGAUUUAUUUAGGUGGAAGGAGGAAGUCUCAACUCUUACAGUCUCGGGUCUAAAUCUGAAUUGGCCAAAUAGAAACUAAGAGGCAACUAAAAUAAACAAACAAGUUGAUAGGAAGGAAAUAAGCAGAAGACACAAAGAAGAGUGGAAAGAGCCUGAAAUUUCUUUUCUGCUUUGCUGCACCCAACCAGAUAGUGCAGAUAAGGUAUCCCCCACAUUCACCCUCCUAAGUGACAGGAGCCCUGAGCAGUAAACUUCUUCCCCACUUUCUUCCAGUGCCACCCACAUGCUCAGGCAUGGAAAAAAACUUGGAAAAGCCCUCAUCAGGCUGCUGUCUCUGUUUCCUUUAGUGCUUACUGCCAUCAAGAUGUACGUAAAAAACUGUCUUUUGGCAGGAGGCAGUGAAAAGUCACCAUUUCUGUUACACUGUCUGCGUUAUGGUUCCCACCCCCAACUAAUAUUUCCUGUUUCAUCAAUAGGUCACAUCCUACCAGUCAUUCCAAGCUGUGAGUGCUCCUCCAUCUGAAAUGCUCUAUUAGCUCUUAACACAGAUAAAACAUCACCGUAGCACAGUCAAGCACUAAGAGUCAGAGGGAAAGGGGAUAUGAUGCAGAGCUCUGAGCUUGUCACAAUAAAGUGAAGUUUCCUCAAAACAGAGGAAGAACAACUAAGAAAGAAAAAAGUAGUCCCCACAUUAGGGAAGUAUAUCUUUGCUCACUGAACCAACACAGUGGGGAAGUGAAAUUAGAAGUGGAUGAAGUGCUGAAACACUUGGAUUAGUUUUUGAAAGACCAGGGAGAGAAAAAGAAACAGAAUGUGUAAGACUGCCAAGUAUUAGGAGGACAGGUUCUCUGGUGAAGAGGUGUCAUAGAAAGAGUCAAUAAAACAACAUCCUUAAUUAUUGUUUUUAUUAUGAAAUUCCUGUGUCAGGGUCGUUUCAAAACAACGUUACAAAAGGCAGCUGAAACUCUCCCAUUUGUCCUCAGUCCUUUCCUUACCUUAAUAUGAGCUGGGUUACAAAGUGAAGUGUAAACUCCCAUCUGAUGACAAUGCACAUCAUCCAGUGCUGGAGGUUUUGUUGUGCUUGUAAAUACAUGUAACACAGACCUUAGCCUAAGAAGCCUAAGAGAAUAAAUACGAAGGACAGAGACAACAUGGUUGUCUUUCAUGAUUUAUAGAUUCACAGAUACAACUAAAGGAAUGCUUUAGUAAAUACACACCUUGUAAUUUUUACCUGUCCAUCAGCUGAGCAUAGAUGAUUUCUGGAAAGUAUAAUAUCUUUGGAGGCUUUACAAUCCAAGUGGAAGAGAAAACAGAGAAAUGGCAGUGAUUUGCUUAGGACAGUCCCCACUUCACAUGCAACAGAGCAAGAAGAUGACAAUCCAUAGAAUUCUCUGAAAAGAACAGAUGGUCAGUAAUGGACAAACUGUACCAUAUUCCUAGAAGAAAUGCAUCACACAUCAUAACCAGGGGGGAAAAAAGGCAUAAAAAGGAAAAAAGUCAUGGCUAUAACUUCAGUAGUGCCCAAGGCUGCAGCUGACCAUCGAAAUCAGAGUUUCUGAACUACUAUAAUAUUGCAAAAUGGAGGCAGUUUCUAUAGUUCCAUAUAUUUGGCUUCCAGUACAUAAGGCUAUGUUUUCAGAACACAAAAAAGAUAAGCUGAAAAGAGUACAUUUGGAUUAAGCUCUUCACUAAUGCCAUGGAAAGCUUUAAGAUACAAACACAGAAUGAGACAUUGUAGGAAAACACCAGCCAUCCAGCACCCUGAGCCUUUAGUAAGACCUUGAGAGCAUUAGGGAUGGUACAGCUGUUGCUGCAAAACACCUUGUGAAUUGGUUAAGUCCACCAGCAAAUUGCACCAAGGCAGAUAUCAAUUUACAUUUGUUUACCACAGCCACACAGGUGAUGGGAGGAAAGGGAGUGGGUGCAACGUGGGCAGUGUGGAGUGGGGCUGGGUUAUCAUUAUCAACAGCAGGAGAAUGAAGGCAUUGUGUGUGCCAGGUGAUGUUUGUGAGUGCAGGCAGCCAGGGGUUGGCCUCUUGUUUGUCCUGCAGUCAAGAGCAAAGAAGAUCAUUACAGCCCUAAACACUAUCCACAUUUUAACAGAGAAACAAGCAAUAAAGAAAAUGUUGGGUGAGGUCAGCAGGGCUGGGGCACCGGGUAGGAAGGUGUAAGUAGGGGUGAUGGGGCUGAGUUACCCUGUUUAGAGGUCUCAUAUUGUGUAACUCAUAUCUCACUGUAAGCAUACUGAAGAUACAAGUGAAUCUCAUGGUUCAAGGUCAUCUAAGGAGAUUGCAGUUAGCUUAGUAGUAGUUUUUAAUGAGAAAACCUGCAUGUGGGCCAGAAAAGACAGACAUUUGGCCAGUUUAAUUCUGCAGUUGUUUCAGUUAACUUAUAUCUGUGGCUAAAAUGCCUCCUUAAGUGGGUGUGGGGGUAACCAAGCACCAGUAUGAACCAGUAUGAACUACAGUAUUUCCUAAUGUUCCAUAUCCUGAGGAUGAUGGGCAUUCAAGAAAAAGUCUAUUUAAUACACUGAGAGCUGUGUAGCUGGAUUCUGGGAACAAUUCUUCCCAUGACUGUACAAAGGGAAUUCAGUUUGCUUUCAUCUUUGAGCAAGAAAAAAGGAAGACAGGGCUUCCCUGAGCAAUCAAAAGUGGGAGUUUAGGGAUGCAAGUUCCAGGAACCAUUCCUUGUCUGAGAACAGGGGCUGAUUUUGGGGAUGACUGCUAUGCUGCUUUUGCACUGAUUUUCAUUAUGAAUCAAAAAAAAAAAAAAUCAGCUUAUGGUUUUGCACUUGCUAUGCAGCAGUAUUUGCCCUUUCCUAGGAUAAGCCAAUUAGUCUGCAAGAGUGAAUAAAGAGAUAUUAUCACCUCUAAUAUCUGGUGCUGCUGCUGCUGCCACCGCUUUUCCAAAAUACUCUCCUGUGGGCAUUAAAGUGAUGUUUUCAUUUAUCCACCAGUAAAAACGCAGCCUUAACCCAUCUGCCUGUCCCUCUGUGUAUAUAUCUGGGUAAUUUAAUAAAUGCUUCUGGGUGUUGAUUUA